CGGUGGCUGUAUCACGUAUUUCGCAGACAAUUAGCAGAAGACAAAAUUAAAUAUUGUGCAAAUAUUGCUGUCAACUGUCCAUUUCGUAUUACGGACUUCAACAGAAAAACAGAUCGCGAACCAUCACUAGUGCUGCCUCUGCAGAGCGAUUUGUGAAACUUUAGUGCAUUCUUUUCCAUACAACUAACAACAACUGGCUUAAAGUCGGUAUUACGGAUGCUUUUGUCUGCCACACGACAGCAGAUAUUUAGCAAUUUCGUUUGUCAAAUUUGCGACACCUUUUGUAUCUGGUGCUGAAUUGUUGCUAACUAUCUGCAAGUGUAAAAUUUGUGAAAUUAAAUUAAUUAACUUGAUUUAGGUAUGUACUAUGGACAGAGCUCAAAUAAUAAAUGGGGCUUUGGAGUCUAAGGAAAUUAGGUCGGAUACAUACAAAUCAGUGCGUUUGCGACGCUGUCUUCGUGAUCAAGCUUGACCCUUUUAUCUAUCGGAAAGUUUGUUCAGAACACAUUACAGAAUUUCGAAACAUCAAUAUUUACAAUUGUGCUCUGAAUUAAAGCCGUUAAUAACCUAGAUCAUCAAGACGAACAAGAAUAGAAAGUAAAAUGCAAGGUGUUAACAGCAUUGCAAAAUGUCAUACCAGAAACCUGUGGGAAUGAGCUUUUUGCAUUUUGAGUUAAACUGUAGUAAAUCCAAUGCCAUUAGGGAAGUGGCUAUGGCAUUAAACAAUCUUCCAGUUUUAUUGAAACAUUUAAAGUUUCUGCAAACAGUACAAUGGGUCACAAGUUAUUAUAAAUGGGUUUUACAAUAAAUUUGGCUUUCCUGGGGUUUCGGGGUGUAUAGAUGGCACUCAUUUGCACUUAUCAGAUCUUCUGUAUAUGAAGAAAGGUUUUAGAACCGCAAGCAUUAUCAUUUCAAGAAUGUGCAAAUAAUCUGUGAUAGUGAUCUUAACAUUUUACGUAUUGAUGCAACAUUUCAUGAUACAUUUGUCUGGCUUAACACAACUGAAUAUGCCUAUGCAGGACCUGCAUCAUAAUAGUGAAAAAGUUUGGUUUUUAGGCAAGUAAAACAUCAUGAGCUCUGUCUCAGUAACCUGACUACAAAAUAAUACUCAAUCUAAAAGUAUAUUUAAAGCUGGGAAGGCCGUUAAUAUAUAGUACUAUAGUAAUGUUUAUUGUCAUACCAGGAACACUGUUGACCAUUGUGAGUAUUGAAAGCCAGUUGGAGAUGCUUGUUGGUACAUAGAGUACUGCAUUAUGAUCAUCAUAUGAUGGCCAAUACCAUAAUUGUUAGCUUGUAUUGCAUAACAUGGCAAACACACAUGGGUUUCCAGUGCCCCAACUAUCUGACGAAGAUGCUGAAAUUGAUGUUUCUUAUCAAAUACAUAACAUUGUAUUUUUUGGGAGAGAAGAGGAAACACAGCACUUAGCACCAUGUCAACAUUCAAGGGUGGUUCAAUUGGAUUGUGGAGAACAGACAUUAAAUUUAGUCCAACCUCUGUAUUCUAGUAAUUUUAUGUAGAUAUUUUUAAAACUGCUGUUCUUAAUUAUGUGAACUGAGAGGGCAAGAAUAGCCUAAUUAUUUCUGCCUAUAAUUUUUUUAUUGUGCUUAGUGGAAAUAUACAUAUUUCCUUAACAUUUUUGUGUUUAUAGUAAAGGAUGGAUUCAUAACUAUUUGAAAGCAAAAUUGUGAGGUUGUUUUAUUAAGACAAUGUUUUAAUCUGUCGUGCUCAAUUUGUUCUGUAUCAUUUUAUCUUUAUAUUAACCCCGUUUGUAUGUUGUGUUGUUAUAUAUAUUAUUGUAUAUACUGCUGUUUUAAAUAAUAGAAUAGAAUGAAUAACAAAUCGACUAGUAAUUCAUAAUUCUUCUAGAUUUUGUUGGAUACUUACAUGAAUAUUACUUACAAAAUGAAAAACAUAUUUCAUAAUUUAGACAAAAUGUGGAUCAACCACCACUGAUUUUCGUUCAUUGUGAUAAUAAUAAUAAUAUAAAUAUAAAUAUUUACUAACAAUCACACCACAUUAACUGGUCCUGUGAUAAGUUCGUAAAGAACUUGUGUUACAGGUACCAGAUAACUGAAAUAAAUGUAGGAUUUUUAUUAUACACAUACAUAUAUUUAAUAUACAUCCAUAACCCUGGAAAAGACAUUUAUAUUUAUCAUACAAAAAUCUUCCCUUGGCGGGACUCGAACCCGCGACCCCCUUGUGUAGCGACCAUGUCACUUACCACUACACCAGACGGCCGUUAGAUAAGUUUGAUAAUUAUUUUUUUUGUGUAAUUUUGUUUUAUUUGAAUAAUAAUUCUUAAAUUAGGAAA